UACGGAGGGUGCAAGCGUUAUCCGGAUUCACUGGGUUUAAAGGGCGCGUAGGCGGCCUUCUAAGUCAGACGUGAAAUCCCCAGGCUUAACUUGGGAACUGCGUCUGAUACUGGGAGGCUUGAGUGCGGGAGAGGGAUGUGGAAUUCCAGGUGUAGCGGUGAAAUGCGUAGAUAUCGAGAGGAACACCGGUGGCGAAGGCGGCGAUCUGGACGAUGACUGACGCUGAGACGCGAAAGCGUGGGGAGCAAACAGG
rnacentral:rRNA from 1 species